rnacentral:tRNA from 16 species
GUGGGAAACUCUGACUUCAAACCCGUUGGGGUAUGCC